CACCGACCUGUUCUUUACGAGCCGCUGGAGUUGACAACGAAACAAGAAAACGUUGCACCGCCGCAGGACAUCACAACACUCCAGUUACUUAGCUGACGUUAGCUCUGGAGGCUAGUUAGCAUUCGGACUUUUCUAAGUAAAAAAAUAACCUGCCAGAAAAAAAGUCGAGUUACGCUCUCAUCGCCUCGUGAACCGGGUAAACAAACCCGAGAUAACCUCUAAUCUCGUUCGUUUUUAUCAGACUGGAUCUUCUUCAUCAAAACAAUGCCCCUUCACUUAGCUGUGCUAUCGAAUCGAGAUCGAAAAUGUACCCGCUAAACUCUGCUCAACAUCAACGCCUCUGAUUGGACGACAGAUUCGUGACGAUGAGUAAUGCCAUUUCCCAUUGGACAGCUGCUGACGUGUACCGUUGAUGUGGCAAGAUUUUCUCCAGCUUGAAAUGAUUAAAAAAAACUUCAAUACACAUUAAAACUGUUGGACGAUAUUUUUCCGUCAAUAUUUGCUACCUGAGCUGGUAAAUGUCCACGAGACAAACUUGAUGAGCCCAUAAAGCACCAGCGCCACGCCGACCAUCGCCAUAGAGUCCUCGAUGGACGGAGAACUGAACCCUGAAAAGGAAAAAAGAUCGUUAGGAUUCAUCUGAUCUGAACAGCAGGACAACGACCCCAAACAUGCAGCCAAAGUCAUUAAGAACCAUCUUCAGUGUAAAGAAGAACAAGAAGUGCUGGAAGUGAUGGUCCGGCCCCCAGAGCCCUGAUCAAC